rnacentral:rRNA from 1 species
UUUCAACUUACUUACCAUAGUUCAUUCGGGAUGUCUUUGCAACGGACAACCCGUUCAGGACUUUUGUGAUCCUGACUGUGGUAAGAUCACUAGGCUUCGGGUCUAAUUUUAGAUACUAAAUCAUUAAUUCAUAAUUGGUUUAUCUGGGCACGAAUGCUCGCAUCUAAUAUUAACUUACUGACCCAUUAUGCAAAAGGUACGCUAUCACUUUUUAAUUAAAUAAAGCUAAAGCUGCUUAUAAGACUACUAAUUCAAACCUUUCCUUCACAGUACUAUACGCUAUCGCUUAUAUAUUAUAUUUAGCCUUAGAGGGAGGUCCCCUUUGGUAAAAUUACGAGUGCUUAGGACCUUGGUCUCUGCUCGGCUAGGAGNCACACUCUUUUUACGGGUUUAUCAAAACUUGGGGUUUAUGGCCCCGCUUUC